rnacentral:rRNA from 1 species
UACGAAGGGGGCUAGCGUUGUUCGGAAUUACUGGGCGUAAAGGGCGCGUAGGCGGCGCUGUAAGUGAGAUGUGAAAGACCUGGGCUCAACCUGGGAAGUGCAUUUCAUACUGCAGUGCUUGAGUGUAAGAGAGGAAAGUGGAAUGAUGCAUGUAGAGGUGAAAUUCGUAGAUAUGCAUUGGAACACCAGUGGCGAAGGCGACUUUCUGGCUUACAACUGACGCUAAGGCGCGAAAGCGUGGGGAGCAAACAGG